UUCUGGGAGGAUUGACAGAUUGAGAGCCCUUUCUUGAUUUGGUGAAUGGUGGUGCAUGUCCGUUCUUCGUUGGUGGAGCGAUUUGUCUGGUUAAUUCCGAUAACGAACGAGACUCUAGGCCAGGUUGGCCCGGUCUAAGAGCCGCAAACAUAACCACGAUACUUCCAAGAGCCGCGGGGGGGGGGGGGGGGGGGGCAAACUUUUAUUAGGAGCAAUAAACAAAACUCGAGCUACUUUUGAUCUAUCCGAGUCAAAAGCAGCCCAACUGUACGUAAUGUAGCAGUAGCACAAGACUAUCAAACCGCAACCUGUCUUCUGAUUUAAAACGCGUUCUAUUCCUUUUUGGGGGAAAGUGCUCGUGUGACCGGGAGGGAGGCAGGGGGGGGGGGGGGGGGGGAAUCCGCGAGCCGCACUUUAACACGCGAAGAGCCGCAUGCGGAAGCCGCAGCUUGGCCACCCCUGCUCUAGCCUAUUAAAAAAGUGCGUGGUUCUCUGCACCUUGCACCCUUCUUAAGCCCGGUUCACACAGUUGCGUUUGACUGCGUUUGACUGCGUUGGGGCAGCGAGAAACCAGGACAUCCCUGCUGCUUAUAUCGCGUGCCAAGAUAAUUCCUUGAAUUGGAGUCCACGCUUCAUAUGAAUCACAGAUGUGCCGGUGACUCGCUUUCGGUUCUCGCCGCAAAGCAGUCAAACGCACUCAAACGCAAGUGUCUGAACCGGCCUUUAGAGGGACAAGCGGCUCCUAGCCGCACGAAACAGAGCAAUAACAAGUCUGUGAUACCCUUAGAU
rnacentral:rRNA from 1 species